rnacentral:rRNA from 1 species
AGCGAACGCUGGCGGCAGGCUUAACACAUGCAAGUCGAGCGGGCAUAGCAAUAUGUCAGCGGCAGACGGGUGAGUAACGCGUGGGAACGUACCUUUUGGCUCGGAACAACUCAGGGACACUUGUGCUAAUACCGGAUAAGCCCUUACGGGGAAAGAUUUAUCGCCGAAAGUUCGGCCCGCGUCUGAUUAGCUAGUUGGUGAGGGAAUGGCUCACCAAGGCGACGAUCAGUAGCUGGUCUGAGAGGAUGAUCAGCCACAUUGGGACUGAGACACGGCCCAAACUCCUACGGGAGGCAGCAGUGGGGAAUAUUGGACAAUGGGCGCAAGCCUGAUCCAGCCAUGCCGCGUGAGUGAUGAAGGCCCUAGGGUUGUAAGGCUCUUUUGUGCGGGAAGAUAAUGACGGUACCGCAAGAAUAAGCCCCGGCUAACUUCGUGCCAGCAGCCGCGGUAA